UCCAGUUCUUAAUCCUCUCUGUGCUAAAACCCUUCUCAGGUGCUGAAACUUCAACAGCAAAAACAUUAAAGAAGAGAGGAGAAGGGAUCUCUAGUUGUCUCGAGUGGUCAGCUUUCCAGAUCUCAGGUUGACAGAGUGGGCUUAGAUCUGAAAGCAGUCAACACAUGGGACCAAAGAUACAGACAGUCAAUAAAACAGAAGAUCCUGAAAGCACAAAGAAAGAUUGAGGAAGAAGUUAACAGAAAUGAGAAGAAUGAGAAAGAAGAUGGUAAAGAGGUCGAGGGGUAAGAGAAAGAGAAGAAACAAAUGUUUGGCGCCCACCGUUUUUUGGAACAAUGUUCAAAACCCAUUCUACAUUCUUGUGAAAAAUCUGCAAUUCUGACAAAUCUUCAACCUUUUUGAAGGUGGACCAGGUUUUUGUAAACAGCCUAAAGUAAUUCUGAGCUCAGUGUGGUGAAUAAACGUGGUAAUUUA